GAUUGGGUCAGUCAAGGACCUUGUUGUGCAGAGCGGAUGCAACUUUUCAAUAGCUGAGAUUCUUUGCAUGGAGAGUUUUAUACUAGAUGAGCUGAACUGGGACCUGUACGCCACGACACCAAUCGACUUCCUUUGCAUGUUCAAUGCCGUUGAUCUCUAGACAUCCCCACCUUCCUACCAUGGGUCCUGAGACUCAGAAGAGGCCUUGCUUCCAGGUGGCAUUGUGGACCAGGCAUGUGCAGCACUGUAUGGCCUGCCACCAGCUGUCGCAUUUCAAAGGCUCCACACUGGCCUUGGCCAUCAUUACCUUGGAGUUGGAGAGACUCACCCCAGACUGGUUCUCCGUCUUCGCCGAUCUGCUGAGGAAAACAUAGAUUCAGAGCAUCCACUGCAAGGAGAUGGUUGACAAAUAAUACAGUACCUCACCAGCCUGGAGUUCUCCCUGCUAGCCACAGAAGUGUACAUAUUUUAACAUGACCAAGCAGCACCAGGAUGAUGAGGGGGCCUGCAGGGAGACUGGGACUCAGGCAGACCAGGAGACACAAGUUCUACGAUGGUUUUGGGUGCCUAUACAAUGACGUGUUGGUUCUGGAGGUCAGCGGGGUCCCCCAUGAGGCCCACCAGAAUGUGAGCCAAUAUCCUGUUGGACUGAUGAACAGGUCUGAGUGCAUGUGUGGGGGUUUGUGUUUAUAUUUUGCGAUUGAGGACAUAGAAUACUUUAUCAUGAACGUGGAACUGCCUCUUCCUUACCUAUUUAGAGCUUUUUAUAUACAAUAUUUUUAGUUUUUACUUCCUUGUUCUAAAACAUGUUUGUUCUGUUGACCUCCAAGUUAUUCACUAACUAAUUUUACAAAAUGCUUUAUUUACAAGUGACAAUGUGCUGCAAAGACGUUUUAUUAUUCAUUUAAAGGUGGUCACAUCUCAGAAGCAAUGUGAGGUAGUGUUAUAACACGUGCUUCUUUAUUUACCACUAGCAUGGAACUUCGGUUUGGGAUACAGUGGAGUAUUGUAAUGCUGUCUAAUACAUUGUCAUUGAUGUUACGGUUUUCCAAAUUGUGUGACGAUCUCUUCGGUCGUUUCUGAUAAAUCAGCUAUGUUACUCUUUUGUCCCCAGAAUGAAGCUAUAGCAGAGAAACAUUACAUUUCAUGAUCACACUUGUUAAUGAUAAUUAUCCAUAAGCCAUCAUCCCUUUCCACCUUUUCCAAACUGGCAAAAUAACUGAAUUCCAUACACAUGAUUACGCAAUAUAGUCUGCCAUUUCAAUUGGUCAUGUUGGUAAAUGGAUGACAGAGCUCUGUUCUACUUUGGGUUGGGUUUUAUAAUCAUAUUUUUGAAUUUGCCCUCAGGAGAAAAUAGAAUUCCUGCUCAAACCUCUUACAAUCCAGUAAAUAAAUGUUCCCCCUCCCAAAUCCAAUAA